CCUACGGGGGGCAGCAGUGAGGAAUAUUGGUCAAUGGGCGGGAGCCUGAACCAGCCAAGCCGCGUGAGGGAAGAAGGUACAGCGUAUCGUAAACCUCUUUUGUCAGGGAACAAAGGCGGGGACUAGUCCCCGGAUGAGGGUACCUGAAGAAAAAGCAUCGGCUAACUCCGUGCCAGCAGCCGCGGUAAUCCGGAGGAUGCGGGCGUUAUCCGGAUUUAUUGGGGUUAAAGGGUGCGCAGGCGGCCUGUUAAGUCAGCGGGAAAAGCCCGGGGCUAAACCCCGUCGAGCCGUUGAAACUGGCGGGCUGGAGUUGGAGAGAAGUACGCGGAAUGCGCGGUGUAGCGGUGAAAUGCUUAGAUAUCGCGCAGAACCCCGAUUGCGAAGGCAGCGUACCGGCUCCACACUGACGCUGAGGCACGAAAGCGUGGGUAUCGAACAGGAUUAGAUACCCGGGUAGUC
rnacentral:rRNA from 1 species